rnacentral:rRNA from 1 species
UAGGGAAUCUUCCACAAUGGGCGCAAGCCUGAUGGAGCAACACCGCGUGUGUGAUGAAGGGUUUCGGCUCGUAAAACCACUGUUGUAAGAGAAGAAUGACAUUGAGAGUAACUGUUCAAUGUGUGACGGUAUCUUACCAGAAAGGAACGGCUAACUACGUGCCAG